rfam:Nomascus leucogenys chromosome 2, whole genome shotgun sequence.
ACAGGGUGUGGUAGUGUGUGCCUGUAGUCCCAGCUACUCAGGAGGCUGAGCGGGGAGGAUCGCUUGAGCCCAGGAGUUCUGGGCUGUAGUGCGCUUUGUCGAUCGGGUAUCCACACUGAGUUCGGCAUCAAUAUGGUGACCUCCAAGGAACAGGGGACCCCCAAGUUGUCUAAGGAGCGGAGAAGCAGCCCAGUUUGGAAACAGAAUGGGCCAAAACUCCCGUGCUGAUCAGUAGUGGGAUUGUGCCUGUGAAUAACCAUUUCACUCCAGCCUGGGCACCAUAGCAAGACUGCAUCUCUA